AAGGGAGAGUAACGGGUGGUUACUUACCCUCAGGACCGGAAUAGUGUCGGGAAACUGACAGUAAUGCCGGAUAAUAUCUUUGGAUCAAAGGUGUGAUUCCGCCUGGGGAUAGGACCGCUUUCUAUUAGCUUGUUGGCGGGGUAAUGGCCCACCAAGGCUGAGAUGGAUACCGGGUGUGAGAGCAUGGCCCGGCUCACUGGGACUGAGACACUGCCCAGACACCUACGGGUGGCUGCAGUCGAGAAUCUUCGGCAAUGGGCGAAAGCCUGACCGAGCGACGCCGCGUGCGGGAUGAAGGCCUUCGGGUUGUAAACCGCUGUCAGUUGGGAGGAAGGUGCUGUGAAGAGCAGCAUUUGACCGAUCUUCAGAGGAAGGACGGGCUAAGUUCGUGCCAGCAGCCGCGGUAAGACGAACCGUCCGAACGUUAUUCGGUAUCACUGGGCUUAAAGAGUUCGUAGGCGGCCUAGCAGGCGAGGUGUGAAAUCCAACGGCUCAACCGUUGAAUUGCGCUUCAAACCACUAGGCUCGAGGAUGGCAGGGGUGUUGGGAACAGAUGGUGGAGCGGUGAAAUGCGUCGA
rnacentral:rRNA from 1 species